AACGUCUUACAAAGAGACUUGACCACUGGUAGAACUAAAUGGAAAGACCCAAAUGAGAAGUGGUUAUUAAAAUCCGGUUCGAAAUCCCUAUAACAACCUGCUUAAAAAAAACAUCAGACAUUAAAUGGGAAGCGGUUUGGGGUUGAACCGCUCCAAAAAAUGUAAUUGAAAGCAGUUCAAACAGUAAACCGCUUUGCAUUUGCUAAAAAAACCCAAGCAAUUCUCACACGUCCAUGUUUGUCACGCCUCCUUAUCCUUCUCUCUCCUCCUUCACCUCAUUUCCCACGCCCUCCUUCUCUCCUCCCUCCCCUCAUUUCAUACGCCCUCUUCUCUCUCCUCUCUCCAUUCUCACACCCUCCUUCUCUCUCCAUCUGAUCUCCUUCCCUCUCUCCUCUUCUCUCCUCUCCUCUCCUCUCCUCUCCGUCUAAUAUCCUUAUCACCGACUAUAGCUACACCGAGAGCGGCAACACCCACAACAACACAGCGAGCACCCCCACCGAGCACCACCGAGCAACACCAACAACACCACCGAGCACCCACCAACGUUUUUAGAUCGAAUUUUAAUUAAGGUGGUUUAAUCGGUGGUGCUCGUGGGUGGUGACUGCUAGAGAACGAGAGCAGCAACAAGUCUAACUGAUUUUUUUUAAAAACAGUGUAGUUAAUUUUAUUAUUAAUUUUUUUAAUACUGUUUUUUUGAUGAAAAUAUAAUAUUACAACAAUUAACUAAUGAAAA